CUCGUAGGCGGUCUGUUGCGUCCGCUGUGAAAACUCGGGGCUUAACCCCGAGCCUGCAGUGGAUACGGGCAGACUAGAGGUAGGUAGGGGAGAAUGGAAUUCCCGGUGUAGCGGUGAAAUGCGCAGAUAUCGGGAGGAACACCGGUGGCGAAGGCGGUUCUCUGGGCCUUACCUGACGCUGAGGAGCGAAAGCGUGGGGAAGCAAACA
rnacentral:rRNA from 1 species